GUGCCAGCCGCCGCGGUAACACGAGGGGAGCAAGCGUUGUUCGGUUUGAUUGGGCGUAAAGCGCGCGUAGGCGGCUGCGCAAGUCGAGAAGUCAAACAACGGAGCUCAACUCCGUUACGCUUCCGAUACUACGCGGCUUGAGGUCGGCGGAGGCGAACGGAACUCCAAGUGUAGAGGUGAAAUUCGUUGAUAUUUGGAGGAACACCAGAGGCGAAAGCGGUUCGCCAUGCCGAUUCUGACGCUAAUGCGCUAAAGCGUGGGGAGCAAACAGGAUUAGAUACCCCCGUAGUCC
rnacentral:rRNA from 1 species